CAGCAGCCGCGGGAAUACGUAGGGUGCAAGCGUUGUUCGGAAUCACUGGGCGUAAAGGGUGCGUAGGCGGGAUCUUAAGUCAGGGGUGAAAUCCCGAGGCUCAACCUCGGAACUGCCUUUGAUACUGGGGUCCUUGAGUCCGGAAGAGGUGAGUGGAACUGCGAGUGUAGAGGUGAAAUUCGUAGAUAUUCGCAAGAGCACCGGUGGCGAAGGCGGCUCACUGGUCCGGAACUGACGCUGAGGCACGACAGCGUGGGGAGCAAACAGGAUUAGAUACCCCCGUAGUCCCUGUCUCUUAUAU
rnacentral:rRNA from 1 species